rnacentral:lncRNA from 1 species
AUAAGAUGUAAGAACUGCAUCCCCCCAAAAAUACAGCGGAACAUGAGAUUGUAUGAGUAGGGUAUGAGCAGUUUCAAUAAGAUGUUUAUUCUUUCUUUCAGCUACCCCAUUUUGUUGUGAUGUGUACGGACAAGAUGUUUGAUGAACAAUCCCAUGGGAGUUCAUAAAUUGCUGAAAUGGGGAAGACAAAUACUCUAGGGCAUUAUCACUAUGAAAUGUGCGGAUAGAAACCCUAAAUUGAUUUUGAAUUUCAGCAUGGAAGGUCUGAAAAAUAAAAAAAAACUCUGAUCGAUUUUUCAUCAAAAAUAUCCACGUACACCUGGAAUAAUUAUCAAUGAAAUUGACAAAGUAGCGAAAUACUAAGGUAGAGCUAACCCUACUACGACCCCAAAUAUCUGAAUGGACUAAAGUAAAAGGUGACUCUGCUCGAUUGUCAAGAUGCCGCGGGAAAUAGGAGCGGGUAUGCUUACCGAGCUGACACGACUCACACUCUAGAGUGGACAAGUGAGAUAAGCCAGGUACCAUUUUCUGAAGUUUUGACAACUCGAUUGUCAAGAUGCCGCGGGAAAUAGGAGCGGGUAUGCUUACCGAGCUGACACGACUCACACUCUAGAGUGGACAAGUGAGAUAAGCCAGGUAUCAUUUUCUGAAGUUUUGGCAAACUGGGAUGUCCUAACCGUUUAUGUAAUAAAUCUGGUGAAUCACUAACGGGAGAAGUUAUUGGAGGAAGACAAGAUGCAAGUCCAUGUGAUUUUGCAAGGAUAAGAUAAUAAAGUCCAUCUGAUUCACGUCCGGUACCAAUGAUCCGCCCUGUACUGCGUUCUUGUAUAAAAACAAGGUCAUCUAGAAAUAAAACAGCGGAUUUAAGUGAUUUGGCUAAGCGACUAAGGGCUAUGAGAUUAAAAGGACUACCAGGAACAUAAAGAACUGGGUAGAAAGGUAAGGAAAGAAGUGGACUUGCUUGACUUUCUGCAGUUGCCAUGGCUUGAGACCCGUUGGCCAUUGUGACUAUUGGUAGAGAUUGAGAAUAUGAGAUACUGGUGAAAAGAGAUUUGUUACCAGAUGCAUCUGAAUCAAUGAUCCAAGACUCAGAAGGUGAAGAUUGGGAGACACCAGUGAGGCUACUAUUUGUUGGAACAACGGAGGUUAACCUUGAAGUUGUCUGUUUACAUGCUUGUACUGAAGGAACUCAAUAUAAUCCGGUAAAGAAACCAUCUGGAUUGGAUUUAUUGCAUUUAAUCCCACAGAUUAUGAGUUAAAGGCUUUAGGUACGAAUUCCAUUAUAAUAUGGUGCCGGAAAAAGUAAAUAAUUACUGGGGAUCACUUUUCAUGCCGGAAAUAUCAUUGUAGCUUGCCGAAAAUAGGUACGAUUUCCAUUGUAAUAUUGUAUCGGAAAAAGCAGAAAAUUUCUGGGGAUCACUGUUCACG